AAAACAGUUUCGUAACCACGUUCUCUCAGAAAGUUCCAUAGUUCACCACUCUGGAACAAAAUAAAGUGAUUUUCAGAAAGAAAUGGAAGCACUUGAAAACUUCAGAUUUCUUAAGUGAUUGAAAUUUGGAACGGCCAGGACAAAACCCGCAACCCACCUCUCUGGAGGGAAGAAGGGAAUGGCUGAGUGCUCACAACUCUCAACUCACUGAGGGAAGCUUGCAGGCCAAGAAACAUUAAAGCCUUCGCAAGAAAAAGGUCAAGAAAGAAAACAACUCAAUAGAGAGCUGAAGAGAGAAGUGGUUACUUUCGCUCUGGCAGAAAGUUAAAUGUGGUCGGAGGAGCAGUAAAUAGGUGGCACUGUGACCGCAGAAGAGAUGACAGCCCUUGAUGAGGACACGAAAGUUAGAACAGCUGCUUCGCACUCAAGGGGGACAAUCAGCCACCUGCACUGAACUACAGAUAAAAUGUCCUUUGGUCAUGAGUAAUGUGUAAUAUAAGUGUGUGUGUGUGUGUGUGUGUGUGUGUGUGUGUGUGUGUGCCAUAUGAAAGAUUUCAUUUAAUUUUAUAACAAUAAGCCAAAUGCCCAAGAUGCAUUCUAACAUCAAUAACUUUUAAUAUGUCAAUUUUAGGACCACUGUUGAAGGCCAUAUAUCCUUACCAUCUUCAUCAUCAUCAAUAGCAAUUCAUCCUUAUCCCCUUAACCCCUGUUCUUUAUGUGAUAUUCUCAUUUCAUCUCAGCAAAUUGCUCCACAAUCUACAGAGAAACUUAGACCAGAAACCCAGGAGAGUUAUUGUAGGUCUCUCUUUUACACCUCCA